ACCUGGCUGGCUCAGUUGGUGGAGCAUGGGACUCUUGAUCUUGGGGUUGUGAGUUCGAGCCUCACAUUGGGUG
rfam:Felis catus isolate Cinnamon breed Abyssinian chromosome A2, whole genome shotgun sequence.